rnacentral:lncRNA from 1 species
CAUAUUCAAUUUCUCUGGUGCCAUUCCAUCAGGUAGCUUCCAACUAAAUGGUUGAAUAAUAGAAGCCAACAUCAAAUUCACCAUCCUUAUAGCAAGUGGCAAUCCAGGACAAAUUCUUCUGCCGGCGCCAAACGGUAUAAACUCAAAGUCCCUACCUUUGUAAUCCACACUAGACUCGGUGAAUCUUUCAGGCAUAAAUUCCAGUGGCUUUUCCCAGGAUUUUGGAUCUCUUCCGAUUGCCCAAGCAUUCACGAGAACUUGAGUGUUCUUUGGCACAGUGUAGCCCAACACUUCUAUAUCAUUUUGG